rnacentral:ncRNA from 1 species
CCUCCUGAACUUAAGCAUAUCAAUAAGCGGAGGAAAGGAAAUCAAACGAAAUUUCCGUAGAAGCUGCGAGUUAACUGGACUCAAGCCUAUUGCCAAUUCUUAUGUCUUGUGCAAUAAGAGAUGAGGUGUAAAGGUGUUCCGUCUUCGACAGAGGCAUAGCUUGAUUAUUAUUAAGUGAGAGCUCAGAGAAGGUGAAAAGCCUGUGUGGUCGUGCUAGUCUGUUGAACCGUGAGUCUAAUUGUUUGAGAGUACAAUUUAAAGUUGGUGGUAAAUUUCAAAAGCUAUAUAUAUGAUGGGGCUAAUAGCGAACAAGUACCAUGAGGGAAAGUUGAAAAGAACUCUGACAAAAGAGUUCGACAUUACGUGAAACAUAUUGAGUGUUUGUUGUAAGGUGUACCUAUCAACAGGUCAUUUGGCGUUGUGGUGCCCUUAGUGUAGGUCGUCUAUACAGCUGAUUGCUCGUGGUUAUCGUAGCCAGGGGUUCUAUGAACUAAUGAACAUUCAAUUGAAAAACUAUGCUGCUGCGGCACGGCGUGCAUCAGUCUGUACCUAGUACAUAAUUGCAAGCUGACGGUAGCUGGUUGGCGUAAUUUAGCUGUGCGAGAGUUGCGGGUUGAUUUUACCAAAGGUAGCUGCUGUAUCUGCGAAUCGGUGUAUUUCUUUUUGCGGUGAGCGCGUUGCUGUAGGUAAGCUACUCGCCAUCAAUGGUUAACAUUAGUUAUUUGACCAGUCUUGAAACACGG